rfam:Pseudogymnoascus sp. 05NY08 unplaced genomic scaffold scaffold_93, whole genome shotgun sequence.
UACCAGGCUCUUUUCAGAGCCACCAAGCUCACUUCUGACGUCAUCU